rnacentral:rRNA from 1 species
GGUUAAGCGACUAAGCGUACACGGUGGAUGCCCUGGCAGUCAGAGGCGAUGAAGGACGUGCUAAUCUGCGAAAAGCGUCGGUAAGGUGAUAUGAACCGUUACAGCCGGCGAUGUCCGAAUGGGGAAACCCAGUGCAAUUCGUUGCACUAUCGUUAACUGAAUACAUAGGUUAACGAGGCGAACCGGGGGAACUGAAACAUCUAAGUACCCCGAGGAAAAGAAAUCAACCGAGAUUCCCCCAGUAGCGGCGAGCGAACGGGGAGCAGCCCAGAGUCUGAAUCAGCUUGUGUGUUAGUGGAACGGUCUGGAAAGUCCGACGGUACAGGGUGAUAGUCCCGUACACCAAAAUGCACAGGUUGUGAACUCGAAGAGUAGGGCGGGACACGUGGUAUCCUGUCUGAAUAUGGGGGGACCAUCCUCCAAGGCUAAAUACUCCUGACUGACCGAUAGUGAACCAGUACCGUGAGGGAAAGGCGAAAAGAACCCCGGCGAGGGGAGUGAAAAAGAACCUGAAACCGUGUACGUACAAGCAGUGGGAGCACCUUCGGGUGUGACUGCGUACCUUUUGUAUAAUGGGUCAGCGACUUAUAUUCUGUAGCAAGGUUAACCGUAUAGGGGAGCCGCAGGGAAACCGAGUCUUAACUGGGCGUUAAGUUGCAGGGUAUAGACCCGAAACCCGGUGAUCUAGCCAUGGGCAGGUUGAAGGUUGGGUAACACUAACUGGAGGACCGAACCGACUAAUGUUGAAAAAUUAGCGGAUGACUUGUGGCUGGGGGUGAAAGGCCAAUCAAACCGGGAGAUAGCUGGUUCUCCCCGAAAGCUAUUUAGGUAGCGCCUCGUGAACUCAUCUUCGGGGGUAGAGCACUGUUUCGGCUAGGGGGUCAUCCCGACUUACCAACCCGAUGCAAACUACGAAUACCGAAGAAUGUUAUCACGGGAGACACACGGCGGGUGCUAACGUCCGUCGUGAAGAGGGAAACAACCCAGACCGCCAGCUAAGGUCCCAAAGUCAUGGUUAAGUGGGAAACGAUGUGGGAAGGCACAGACAGCCAGGAUGUUGGCUUAGAAGCAGCCAUCAUUUAAAGAAAGCGUAAUAGCUCACUGGUCGAGUCGGCCUGCGCGGAAGAUGUAACGGGGCUAAACCAUGCACCGAAGCUGCGGCAGCGACACUAUGUGUUGUUGGGUAGGGGAGCGUUCUGUAAGCCUGCGAAGGUGACCUGUGAGGGUUGCUGGAGGUAUCAGAAGUGCGAAUGCUGACAUAAGUAACGAUAAAGCGGGUGAAAAGCCCGCUCGCCGGAAGACCAAGGGUUCCUGUCCAACGUUAAUCGGGGCAGGGUGAGUCGACCCCUAAGGCGAGGCCGAAAGGCGUAGUCGAUGGGAAACAGGUUAAUAUUCCUGUACUUGGUGUUACUGCGAAGGGGGGACGGAGAAGGCUAUGUUAGCCGGGCGACGGUUGUCCCGGUUUAAGCAUGUAGGCUGGUUAUCCAGGCAAAUCCGGAUAAUCAAGGCUGAGGUGUGAUGACGAGGCACUACGGUGCUGAAGUAACAAAUGCCCUGCUUCCAGGAAAAGCCUCUAAGCAUCAGGUAACAUCAAAUCGUACCCCAAACCGACACAGGUGGUCAGGUAGAGAAUACCAAGGCGCUUGAGAGAACUCGGGUGAAGGAACUAGGCAAAAUGGUGCCGUAACUUCGGGAGAAGGCACGCUGGUGUGUAGGUGAAGCCCCUGCGGGUGGAGCUGAGACCAGUCGAAGAUACCAGCUGGCUGCAACUGUUUAUUAAAAACACAGCACUGUGCAAACACGAAAGUGGACGUAUACGGUGUGACGCCUGCCCGGUGCCGGAAGGUUAAUUGAUGGGGUUAUCCGUAAGGAGAAGCUCUUGAUCGAAGCCCCGGUAAACGGCGGCCGUAACUAUAACGGUCCUAAGGUAGCGAAAUUCCUUGUCGGGUAAGUUCCGACCUGCACGAAUGGCGUAAUGAUGGCCAGGCUGUCUCCACCCGAGACUCAGUGAAAUUGAACUCGCUGUGAAGAUGCAGUGUACCCGCGGCAAGACGGAAAGACCCCGUGAACCUUUACUAUAGCUUGACACUGAACAUUGAGCCUUGAUGUGUAGGAUAGGUGGGAGGCUUUGAAGCGUGGACGCCAGUCUGCGUGGAGCCAACCUUGAAAUACCACCCUUUAAUGUUUGAUGUUCUAACGUUGGCCCCUUACCGGGGUUGCGGACAGUGUCUGGUGGGUAGUUUGACUGGGGCGGUCUCCUCCCAAAGCGUAACGGAGGAGCACGAAGGUUAGCUAAUCCUGGUCGGACAUCAGGAGGUUAGUGCAAUGGCAUAAGCUAGCUUGACUGCGAGCGUGACGGCGCGAGCAGGUGCGAAAGCAGGUCAUAGUGAUCCGGUGGUUCUGAAUGGAAGGGCCAUCGCUCAACGGAUAAAAGGUACUCCGGGGAUAACAGGCUGAUACCGCCCAAGAGUUCAUAUCGACGGCGGUGUUUGGCACCUCGAUGUCGGCUCAUCACAUCCUGGGGCUGAAGUAGGUCCCAAGGGUAUGGCUGUUCGCCAUUUAAAGUGGUACGCGAGCUGGGUUUAGAACGUCGUGAGACAGUUCGGUCCCUAUCUGCCGUGGGCGCUGGAGAAUUGAGGGGGGCUGCUCCUAGUACGAGAGGACCGGAGUGGACGCAUCACUGGUGUUCGGGUUGUCAUGCCAAUGGCACUGCCCGGUAGCUAAAUGCGGAAGAGAUAAGUGCUGAAAGCAUCUAAGCACGAAACUUGCCCCGAGAUGAGUUCUCCCUGAGACUUUAAGUCUCCUGAAGGAACGUUAAAGACGAUGACGUUGAUAGGCCGGGUGUGUAAGCGCAGCGAUGCGUUGAGCUAACCGGUACUAAUGAACCGUGAGGCUUAACCUUACAACGCCGAAGAUGUUUUG